ACGUAGGGUGCGAGCGUUGUCCGGAAUUAUUGGGCGUAAAGGGCUCGUAGGCGGUUUGUCGCGUCGGGAGUGAAAACGCCGGGCUUAACUCGGUGCUUGCUUUCGAUACGGGCAGACUAGAGGCAUGCAGGGGAGAACGGAAUUCCUGGUGUAGCGGUGAAAUGCGCAGAUAUCAGGAAGAACACCCGUGGCUAAGGCGGCUCUCUAGUACGGUACUGACGCUGAGACGCGAAAGCGUGGGGAGCGAACAGGA
rnacentral:rRNA from 1 species